UAGUUUUUCUUACUUUUUCCUUCAGAGCUGUACUUUAUAUUAUGUUUUAACUGGUGUAUUCCUUCUGUUGAUCUCUGACCCAUGCUUUAUGUUUACAGCUGCAUCACCGUAUUUCAAUGGUGCCGCUACUGCAGUGAAUAGUGCAAACUCAUACGUUAAAGGCCUGUGUGCUGGAGCUGCAAAGGAAAAUCAGCAGUGGUGUCAUUGUAAAGGUCUUUUGGACUCCUGCCUUCUGUAUCCACUAUA